CUGGGUUAAGUCCCGCAACGAGCGCAACCCCUAUUGUUAGUUGCCAUCAUUCAGUUGGGCACUCUAGCGAGACUGCCGGUAAUAAACCGGAGGAAGGUGGGGAUGACGUCAAAUCAUCAUGCCCCUUAUGACCUGGGCUACACACGUGCUACAAUGGUUGGUACAACGAGUUGCGAGUCGGUGACGGCGAGCUAAUCUCUUAAAGCCAAUCUCAGUUCGGAUUGUAGGCUGCAACUCGCCUACAUGAAGUCGGAAUCGCUAGUAAUCGCGGAUCAGCACGCCGCGGUGAAUACGUUCCCGGGCCUU
rnacentral:rRNA from 1 species